rnacentral:rRNA from 1 species
GAUGAACGCUGGCGGCGUGCCUAAUACAUGCAAGUCGAGCGAACGGACGAGAAGCUUGCUUCUCUGAUGUUAGCGGCGGACGGGUGAGUAACACGUGGAUAACCUACCUAUAAGACUGGGAUAAUUUCGGGAAACCGGAGCUAAUACCGGAUAAUAUUUUGAACCGCAUGGUUCAAAAGUGAAAGACGGUCUUGCUGUCACUUAUAGAUGGAUCCGCGCUGCAUUAGCUAGUUGGUAAGGUAACGGCUUACCAAGGCAACGAUGCAUAGCCGACCUGAGAGGGUGAUCGGCCACACUGGAACUGAGACACGGUCCAGACUCCUACGGGAGGCAGCAGUAGGGAAUCUUCCGCAAUGGGCGAAAGCCUGACGGAGCAACGCCGCGUGAGUGAUGAAGGUCUGUGGAUCGUAAAACUCUGUUAUUAGGGAAGAACAUAUGUGUAAGUAACUGUGCACAUCUUGACGGUACCUAAUCAGAAAGCCACGGCUAACUACGUG